GUUGCCUUUUGGAACAGGAAGAUGGUGACUUUGCAUGCAGCAAAAUUCUUAGUUUUAGCAUCAGUAUUUGGACCCAUCACAUACGGUACUGCUGCUGACAAAGGCUUAAUUCUUGGUAUGUGGAGUCCUGCUGCAUUUGCAACCAUUACAGAAAUACCAGUCAAAGAUGCUGAUUAUUUUGGCAAUGUAUCUAAAACCCUCACCCCCUCGACUGUUCAGACAUACAGCAUUGCGUCUGAUCCUCAGAAUAAAGUGGUUUUUGCUGCAAUAAGGGACUCAAUUUACAAAUUUCAAAACUUCACCAUUUGGCAGAACGGAACAGUUUCCCUUUCCUUGGCUCACAAAGGGAAAUCCUCAGCGUUUGGACAAAUUGCAUUUGACUACUCUUCAGGCAAUAUAUAUUGGUGCGAUUCUCUCCUCAAAUGGAUUGCCGUAAAGCCAGCAUACAGUAACAAUGAUACGAUAUAUACAGUUGUUGUUCACAAGGAUUUGUACCAACCGGAGGGAUUAGCACUUGAUCCUGAAAAUGGCUUAAUGUUCUUUACGGACAAUGAACCACAUCCACGUAUUGAAAAGGCAUCCAUGGAUGGUGAGAAUAGAACUACAAUAAUUCAUACCGGUUUAAUUCGAGUAUUAGCCCUUUCCGUUGAUACAGACAGAGAUUUACUGUUCUGGGCAGACUAUGGUAGGCACACUAUUGAGGUCAGCGACUAUGACGGUUUAAAUAGAAGAGUAAUUCGACGUAACAACAACGUCCCUGCAACAGGUUUACACUACUAUCAGAAUAUGCUACAUGUUUCAAGUCUAAAGGCUAGGUUGAUCUUUGGUGUAGAUACAAUAUCAGGAUCACAACUGUACAAUCUGCAAUUGUCAGGUCAGCCGUAUGCCAUUCACGUCUAUGACGGAGAAUCAGCAAGAUCAUACGCUGGUCAGUGUUCUUCCCGAGGUUGUCAGCAUAUCUGUGUAAACUCGCCAGUAGGAGCUAAAUGUCUCUGUGCUGAGGGGUACCUUCUAUCCUCAGACGGAAAGUCCUGCACAGACCGUUCCUGGUUUCACGAGAGAGGCUUCAUUGUAAGCAAUGCAACACAUUUUGCUAUGGUGGAAGUUCAAUUCAUUAAUGGAGGAAAAGGAUGGAUUCCAUUCCUGAUACCCUCCGCCAUUAUUGGAUCAUUUGCUGUGGAUGCCAACUUGCACAUUAUCUACUUUUUGGACACCAGUAGUAAUGCAUUGGAAGAAUUAAAUAUCAUUAAUCGUCAGAUUAGAACUCUGGCUACCAAUGUGGUCGCUACAGAUCUCAUUUUUGACUGGAUUGCUAAUCUUCUUGCGUGGAUUGAACCUGCGCAAUCUGCAAUACGAGCAUUUUCUAUCACUUCUGGGACGACAACUUUAAUAUACUCCGGACUUCAACAGCCUUCAUCUCUAACAGUGGAUGCUCAUAAUGGAGACCUCUACUGGAUAUCAGGAACCUCUAGGAAGACGAUAAUGAGAGGAAAUUGGAAUAGGAAUUCUCCGACAACCAUUGUGUCCGAGGAAAAUCUCAGUAAUCCGACUUCUCUUCGAUAUGAUGUUACAAGUCACAGAAUUUACUGGCUGGAUAAUUCUAUGAUUAAAAGCUCAUUUAUAAAUGGAUCUGAUAUUAAAAGCCAUCUUAUCACAUUUGGUGCAACAGAGGCGUUACCAUAUAAGGAUUUUUUCGGUUGGAUAAAUGGAAACAAAACGUAUUUUGCUAGAAGGUCAGCUAUAUCUGCCGAGUAUGAAGUAGAUGUAAUACAAAACAUAAAACAUAUGACUAUAUUUGAUGCUUUAAUACAACAGGACAGGAGAGGCAGUUGUCAAAUACUGAAUGGUGGCUGCGAAGGAAUUUGUGUGCCUUUGCAAAAUGGACGGAAAUGCGAGUGCGACUUUGGACUACAAGCAAAAGAUUUGACAUGCGAAAGUAGUUUCUUUUUGAAGAAUUUUAUUAUAGUUUUGGAUUAUUCUCACGGCCGAAUCCUUCAGGCUGAUAUUAACACAGGAAACAUUGUCAAACUGCCGAUCAAUAUACAAAACUCUCCAGGCAUCACAUUUGAUAAAUCAGCAAUGGAACUCAUUUACUCUGAAGUACAAACAAAAACAAUUAUGUCCACAACACUUCAUGGAACAAACACGUCUUUGAUCUAUGCCACAGGUUUUGCACAUGCUGAUCGUUUAACUAUUGACUAUUCCACUGGAAAUAUUUACUACACUGCAGUCGGUUCUAGUCAGUCUCAAAGUUAUAUUGGUGUUAUACACAGGAGGAGUUUACUUCAUAAAACAUUGUUGACAAACCUACACAGUCCAAGAGAAAUUGCGGUAUAUCCAUCGAAAGGGUUUUUAUACUGGACAGCGUUUGGAAAUAUUGCUGAAAUAAGUAGGUCAUAUAUGGAUGGAACAUCCAAAAUGUAUAUUGCAACAACGAAUAUUGGUUGGCCAAACGGCUUUUCCAUUGAUUUUGCCACAAACAAAAUAUUUUGGGCUGAUGGUUUGAAGAACAGCAUAGAGUAUUCAGAUUUAAAUGGUGAGAACAGGAAUAUUUUGACAACUGACAGUGACGCACAUUUGAUGAGCAUUGUGGUUCACGGACAAUACCUCUAUUAUACUGCAUGGAAUCGACAACGCAUUACAAAAAUGGAUAAAGCAACAGGUGCUAAACUAAUCUUUAUGCCUAAUUACCCUGAACUUGGUAGACUAGAUAGCCUAGAUAUAUAUGCAGACGAUACUAUGGACGUGAACGCCAUUUGUUCAAAAAAGAACCGUAACUGCAGUACUUUCUGUUUCUCUACACCAACUGGAAGAACGUGUGGAUGUCAGGAUAAUGUUAAUUUGCAAGCAGACCAAAAAACAUGCCAAGGAGUAUUCCGCUGCACUUCUCCUUUGCCAAAUAUCAAUUUGCUAGACUGUCUUGCUUUUCCUGGAGAAAUAUGUGAAUUUGAGUGCAAGCCUGGAUUUAGACGUGACGUCAACACUUCUAUUACAUGUAACCAGCUUAGCCAAUGGGAUCCACCCACGGCAUCUCUAUGUUCAGAAAUAUUUUGUUCACCAUCACUCACAAAUGCUGUUCUAUCGUCAAAUUGUUCGCGAAGCGUUAACAAAUCAUGCACAUUUGAGUGUUCUGAAGGCUAUAGUCGAACGACUUUGCAAAGUUUAAUGUGCACUAUGAACGGUACAUGGAACCUGGAUACCAACAGUUUAUGUUUACGUUCUAGCUGCUCAAAGACGAUACAAAAUGGCCAAUUUACUAAUUGUUCGGCAAAAAUUGGAGAGACGUGUCAGUAUGGAUGCAACAGUCCCUUUGAAAUAAAUCCUAAGAUUCUAAAUGUUACUUGCCAUACAAGCCGGGAAUGGAGCCAUGAUACAAACAACUUAUGCAUACAAUUAUGCACACCAACAAUCCAAAAUGGAAAUCUAGGACCAGGUUGUCCGAGAACUAUUGGCAGCACCUGUUCAUUUUCUUGUGACAUAGGUCACAAAUCAUCCAUUUCCUCUCAAAGCAUUAUUUGUACUUCAGACGGUAGUUGGAGCGAAACGACCGCAGAAUUAUGCCAACGAUCUAGCUGUUCGAAGAGUAUACAAAAUGGCAAAUUUAUAGACUGUCAGUCAAACAUUGGAGAAACCUGUCAAUAUGAAUGUAACAGUCCUUUUGAAAUGAAUCCAUCUUUUACAAAUGUUACCUGUAAUUCAAGCAGCUACUGGAAUCAUGACCCAGGCGAUCUUUGUGUGUGAUUAUGUCUAAAAAUGAUUCAAAACGGGAAACUAGAUCCAAGAUGUGAAAGACAAAUUGGAAACAAAGCAAAGAUGUGCUUUGGAAAUCAGAAAUGGUAAUUUUUCUUCGCUAUGUCAGGGGUACGUUGGAGAGAAGUGCGAAGUGGCGUGUUACAAAGAAUUCAAAGCGAGUGUUUUACAUUUGAUUUGUACGUCCACAGGAACAUGGGACAAAGAUACAAAUAGCAUCUGUGAAAAGAUUAAGCAUCAAAUCAUAGCAGAUGAAAAGGAUAAAACAGGCCUUUACAUCGGAAUCCCAGUUGCUUGUGUCCUUGUUAUUGUGGUGAUAACAGUUGCUAUUUUAGUUCUCAGGAAGAGGAAUCCAUCUGAGUAAGCAGUUUUUAAUUUUUGA